GCUCAUUAUUCACACACAACUUCACAUAGUCGUUAAACAAAUCUCUAAUUUCUGACUCAGUGCUGAUGAUCACAAUUGAAACUCAGUACUGAAAUCUUCGUUUACAGAGCUUGAAUUUGUCACAAUGCGUUUAUUAACGACUUGGUUUAUUUUUGAAUUUGCAUUAAUUUUUUCAUUUCUUUCGCCUCUAUGCUCCGCCGAAUCAAUACCACCACACAGGUUGAAAGCGAUUAAUUAUUUUUUAGAUGGCAUCCAUCCAAGUGAACAAUUCAAAACAUCAUGCCAGAGAUUAUUAAAAAAGACCUUUACGUUUCCUGGAGGAAGAACCGAUGGGGAUUACAACAGACCACAGUGUCGGCUGUAUUGUGGCUUCGUAAAAAUAGGAUUGAUGGACAGUAGUGGAGUCCCCCUGAGCACAGCCUACCUAGAGAGAACAAUCCCCAAUGCACACAAUGAAAAAAUUUCUUCAAAAAUAAAACAAUGUGAAAAACGUGGAAAUUCACAUGACCCAUGUGAGGGUGCAACGUCAUUCGCACAAUGCUUUUCUUCUGAUGAAAUGGGUGGUCAGGCGAUUAAAUCGGAUUUGCGGCUAGCUAUGACGUGAUUUGCUGCUGAGAUAAUAAUCGUUUGUUUGCAGAUUGAGAAGUUGUGGACUUCAUUUAUGAAUGAUGUAAUAAUCAUUGUAUUUACUCUUAAUAGUACUGAAAUUACCCUUGAGAUUUAAAUAAAAAUAUGUAUUAUA